CCAGUGGCGAAGGCGACUUUCUGGUCUGUAACUGACACUGAGGUCGCGAAAGCGUGGGGGGCAAACAGGAUUAGAUACCCUGGUANUCCACGCCGUAAACGAUGAGUGCUAAGUGUUAGAGGGUUUCCGCCCUUUAGUGCUGAAGUAACGCAUAAGCACUCCGC
rnacentral:rRNA from 1 species